CGCCUAUAGAAAACCGAUAUUAUAGGUACGCCCUGCCCGGUGAACCAAUUAAACGGCCGCGGUAUCCUGACCGUGCAAAGGUAGCAUAAUCAUUUGCCCCUUAAUUAGGGGCUAGCAUGAAUGGAUAGACGAGAUUAUUUCUGUCUCUUCCUAACCCAUAAAAACUAAUCUACAGGUGAAGAAGCCUGUAUUUAUAUAAAAGACAAAAAGACCCUGUCGAGCUUUAAUUUACUAUAAAAAAAAGUAAUACGUAUUCUCUCUUUUAUAUAUAAUUUUUGUUGGGGCGACAACGGAAAACAUAAAUCUUCCGCAAAUUAUUAGAAAUCUGAUCGCUCAACAGAUCCCCCAAAGGAUAACAGGUACUAGCUACCGCAGGGAUAACAGACUAAUCCUCCUCAAGAGCCCAAAUCUACAGGAGGGCUUGGCACCUCGAUGUUGGCUUAGGAUCGCACUUAAAUGCAGAAGUUUAAGAAGUAGGUUUGUUCAACCUUUAAUCUCCY
rnacentral:rRNA from 1 species